AGAGAGGAAGUACAGCGGUGAAAACAACAGCAAAAAAAUGAGUCGGAAGCACAGUAGCAUUUGGAUGCAUUUUAAUAAUGUAGACAAUGUUAGAGCACAGUGGAGAAUUUGCCAAAACAAAAUCUCAUAUUAAGCCGGUUCUACGCACAAUCUACACCGGCAUAUACGAACUGUGCACCCAACUGUGAAGCUAGCUGUAGCGGAGCUUCGAGAAACUAGCGGGCAUCCACACGUGGAGAUGUAUACACUCAGUCAAGUAGGUCUAUUCCGCGACCCACAGCAACGCAGUCUUUCUAUGGACCAGUUUAUGGGUGGUUGUCUGUAGCAAAACAAGGCCAAAUUGAUAUUGCAUUGGCUAAAAUGAUUGCCACCGAUGUCCAGCCGUGUAGGACAAAGGUUUUAGAAAAUAUAGCAAUAGUCUAAAUCCAAUGUACAAAUUUCCAAGAAGGAAAAGCAUUUCAAAAUCACGUAUUCCACAACUGUAUGAGAGCACAUAGGCUUCAGUGUGGGAAAGAGUCCAAAAAGCUACUGCAGUUUGCCUUACCACUGACUACUGGACAUAAAGGGAAAACACGUCUUACAUGUCACUUCAAUUAAGAUUUUCCGAUGUCGAGCUGUCUUCUGGACUGCUUUGAGUUCAGCGACAGACACACCCCAGAGAACUUGGCAGAGGAACUGUUAAGAGUGGCCAGAGAAUGGCAAGUAGACGGAAAAGUGGUCUGUUGUGUUAGCGACAAUGCAGCUAACAUAACCAAAGCCAUGAACAUUUUAAAAUGGACCCAUCAUCCAUGUCUUGCCCACACAAUCAGCCUGAUUGUAAGAGAUGCUCUGAAGGUGAUGAAGCCCACUGUGGACAAAGAAAGCAGCUGUGGAAUACUUCCACAGGAGCACAGUAGCUGAAAAACUAAAGUCUACACAACGCUAGAUGGGGAUGCCUGAGCUGAGGCCUAAACAAGACUGCACUACAAGGUGGAAUUCAACAUUUUAUAUGUUGAAGCAGUUUGAGUCAAAUGAUGACAUAAUUUCUACCCUGGCCAUUGUAAAUGCACCUGUUGAUGCUCUGACCCAAGAGGAAUGGGAGGUGGUGGAGGAGGUGUGCAGGGUCCUGGAACCCUUUGAGCAGGUCACUGUGGAGAGAGGUACAGUGGAGAGAGCUAUGUGACAGUGUCAAAAAUGAUACUCCUUUGUAAGGGUCUGCAGAGAAUCAAAUGUAACCACAGGACAUGUGACAGAAAAGAGGGACCAGUUUAAUGUUUUAAGUGGGAUGCUGCAGUUUUGCACAUUAUUUAUUUUUCUUUGAUAUGGUGCAAUAUUCUAUUAUGUUGUUCAGAUUAUAUUUGUUUUGAACGGUUAGAUUUAUAUGCACUUUGUUUAUAUACAUUAAAAAGUUAUACUUUA